UGGGUCCGGGGAGACUGAAUGGGGUGCAGUGGGAAGCAGGGGCGCAGGGAAGCCAAAGCCAACUACAGGCUUCCCCAUUCUGGGGCCUCCACUCUCCCUCUGGCCCAUCCUGUGUCUUUUCUUUGCCAGAGGGCUCUGCUUUCUUAUUAUAGUUUUGACUUUCCAGAUUGUUGAGAGUUUGAAAAUGAAAAUUGAAUUUAACCAUCUGACCUGCACUAGGCAAACACCAUUCAGCAGGCACUAGCCAGUUUCUGGCUAUGCAAUAAGUAGCCUGGGCAGCAUGGCACCACAGCUGCAGCGCCCCCUACAGACUCUUCCUUUAGGGGCACAUGCUAGUUGAGAACAGGGAGAAAGGUUUCUGAUUGGUCUAGAGCUGUUGCUUUGUUUAUUAGUAUCAUUGGUUACUGCUUGCUCUCAGUUAGAUCCUGAUCAAUCAGAGUCCAGGUUGAGGGGACACAAGUGUGGAGUCCAGCUCACCAACUUCCUAUGAACCUAAACUUCUGCUUCCUCUUCUGGAAUCUGGCUUUUAUUAGCUAUUUUAUGUCAUCAUUUUUAUAAGUUAAUUGUUGCCCCAAAACCAGGAUUCUGUAAUGGCUCCUCCAGGAAUUCCAGUCUAUGGAAGAAAGGAAGGUAAGGCUUGGUGAACUAGAGACUGUGACACUCUUAGCUUAGCCAGACAGAAAUGACAUUCCCCUCAAGUGUUGGCUAGUACAGUAAGUUUACUCGUAGCUGAACACAGACCUCUCUGUCCAUCAAACAGCAUGCCCACUUUGGGGAGCUGCCUAUCAUAGUUCUUAACACAUUCUUUUCUUCCUAGUGCCUCCUGCUCACCCCUGGGCCCCUGAACCCCUCUUACUCUUUUUAAAGAUGACCUCAGGAUACUCUGAUUUUUAAACCACUGGACAGCAUUGCCUGGCACUUGCUAAUCUCUUUCAGUUUGUGACUAUGAAGGGGAGAAAGUGUCCCCAAACUGGUUGACAGAAUUGCCUGGGCCAGGGGCCGGGGAGUUCCUUGAGUUUGUGUGUGCCUCUGCUGUGACUAUGUUUUGUCCAAAGGAAAUGGUUGGCAGGUAUUAAUAUAAGGGAGAAGAAAGGAAAGUUUUAAGUGGGGGUGAAGGGGGAGAAGGGAGAAACCGACAGCAUGUUUUAAUUGUGAGUUGGAAACUUUAUAAACACAAUUUACACACACGGCACGUGUAAUCAUGGCGGUAAUUAUGAUAAAUCCGUUGUCAGCCCAGUUUGGAAGUCCUUGCGAGGUAGUCGGAAAUUAGUUCUCGUGCUAGACAAUAGCUCAAUAAAAACGCAACCCGACCCCAGCCCGGCCCAGAUGGAAUUCCACACGGCCCAACUCAGAUGUUCUCCGUGUCGCACUUCCCCACUGCCAAAAGGCUUGUCAGGUCAGCACAAACACGUCUUGAAUCCAUUAAGUUGCUUUUUUUGUUUUCUGCCUGCUAAUUAGCUAAAAGUCGAACACUUCAAGUACAGCAUGCCAAGAGCGCUGCUUCAGGGUGAGGCGCCAUGGUUCAGAAGCUAAGCUAGUGCCUUUUGUGGACUGUGCUGGUUUGGAGGGCUCUUGGACUGGCUGGGCAAGCUUGGAGAUGGCUGAGCAGGCAUGGGAAGGUAUGGCCAGGGACGAGCAUCCCCAGUCCAGGGCUGGUCUUUCAUACAGCCUCUGGGACUCAGGCUAGAAAGGAGCCCCUCAAACAGUCGUCCCCAAAUGAGGUAUCUGUUGAUACUUGUUCCCCUCAUGGGAGCAAGCUCAGUUACACAUAUCAUGAGGCAAUGGUCACAGGCUGAAAUGUCAUGGGUAGGGACAGGCAGCUUCCUCUCAUCCACUGAGCACGCCCGGCAGAAAGAGCAUCCUGGCUCCUUCCUCUAAACUCAGUUAGUAGCUCUAGACCAGAAGCAUGAGGCACAGGAAAUGGAGAGAGUUUAAGAUGCCUGGCCUUAAGGACUACCACAUCGACUCUUGCCCGUGGUGAGAGGAAAAGCUGACAGUGUGUGGGGAUGGAAGGCCCACAACCUGAGGAGACCCAGGAGAACUGCCACCCUUCCUCUGGAGGCUGUCAGCCAGUUGAGGGUCACCCCAUCCCCCACCUGGGAAGCAGAAAAGAUGGGACAGCUGGGUGCCUGGAUGAUCCCACAGAACAGAGCUGACCCUGGCUACCUCUGGGCAGUCACUGGAGGGAGAAUAAAGUCCUAUUUUCUUGA